UCGCGGCUUAUCACCGGCAGUCUCCUUAGAGUGCUCAACUAAAUGGUAGCAACUAAGGACGGGGGUUGCGCUCGUUGCGGGACUUAACCCAACAUCUCACGACACGAGCUGACGACAGCCAUGCAGCACCUGUGCAUAAGCUCCGAAGAGAGGACAACUUUCAUUGCCGGUCCUAUGCAUGUCAAACCCAGGUAAGGUUCUUCGCGUUGCGUCGAAUUAAACCACACGCUCCGCUGCUUGUUCGGGCCCCCGUCAAUUCCUUUGAGUUUUAAGCUUGCGCUCGUAGUUCCCAGGCGGGCCACUUCCCGCGUUAGCUAAGGCCCCCAGCGACGGAGAUUCCGCCACCAAAGGCCGAGUGGCCAUCGUUUACGGCGUGGACUAC
rnacentral:misc_RNA from 1 species